rnacentral:misc_RNA from 1 species
GGGUGUAAUACUCCAGAAAUUCUUGCCAACCAUUUUGUAACCAAACCUCACCAUCACAUUUGGUGAGCUCCACUUUCCAUAUUCUACCGCUAGGCACUUGAAGGAGCGCAGGACUUUUCAGAUCUUUUCCAUACUUUCUUACAAACCUCCUUGGAAUACCCUACUCAAUUCUUCUCCUCUCCCAUCUCAUUCAUUAGCAGGCAGAGAAAUAAUCCGUCAUCAACUUAGAUAUCUGCACAUUAAAAUUGUGGUUAAAGAGAAAAUAAUUAGAUAGGUUUACCACUUGUCUGCUACAAUCAAAAUGCUUUUCAUUUCUUUAUUUUAAACUAAAAUUACAAUUAUCAGAUUAAAAGUGGG